GUUCUGCGAAGAUUGUGCGGGGUCAGCCAUGGCGGGAAGGAUGGUCACGCCAUGGGGGAUACAGGGGCCGACUUGGCGAAUGGAUAGCCUUUGCCCGGCGUCACAUUUGCCAUGCGCCCUGCAGACUGCACUUAGACAAAUCAUCUUUUUGUUCCAUGUAUACCUGGGAUAUGGGGGCGCUUUUGGUGCGCAAAAUGUGUUGAUAAUGGUGCGCAUUGUGUGGUGGACGUCUUCUAUUCUUUUGCCCCGAGACAACAAGGGACUGAGUGUCUGGUGGAGCGGAGAUGCGGCACCAAUGCCAGUGGUGGCGCGCAUAUGUGGUUGCUGAUGUCUGGUUGGUCGUCGGCUUGGAGGGAGUGGACCCUAUACGUCGGUUUAGGGACGCCGAGAAGAAACCGAGACGAAUUUGCACAAGGUCACGCAACAGUGGCCAGAGGCUGGCGGAUAUGGGUCGAUCGUCGCAGCGCGGUCGUUAACAGUGCUCACAGCGGCAAUUUGCAUAUCCCAACAGGCUGCAGCCAAGACUAGGUUGCGCUUGUACGCACUACCAAGUUGGCGGCUUCCGUGUGCGGCUGAGGUACAGGCGGCUGAUGCCUGGUGCCUUUUUGUUUUCCUGGAGCAAGUGGAGGCCCUUUCGUUCCUGCGGACGCCAAGGUAGGAACAAAAUCUUUUUUCGUAUGUCGAGAGCUGAGGUUCGUGGCAAAUCUCCUGGCAUAAAUUUGGAGCACUUGCGGUUCCCCGCGGCAAGCUUCACUAUUUUGUCGGGCGAUGCCAUUGGUCUGGCAACUUUCGUUCGGUGUCAGCGUUAUGCGCUCGAUAUCUGGUGGCGGAUCAAAGUUUACUGUUGCUUGGCUUGGAGUGUGUACGUAUGUUUUAUUAAUCAUUGGCGAGGCGAGCAUCAGUGUUCGUUGUAUAUGUUGACCUCCUUGUAUCUCACCGAACGCUGUGCAGUGGUGGCUCCUUACGGAAGCUGUCGCAGCAUCCUGAUCUGGUGUGAGAUGGAGUGCAAAGAAGGUUUGCGCUGUCCGCUCGCUGCUUGUCUUGUCCAGAAGAAAUUAGGCAGUGGUCCCAGUUUUCUUGGUGCCGAACCAUAGUUUCUCGAGCAGGAAAGUGUGUGGGAUUGGUCCGCAAGCUCUUCUGAGUUUUCAGUGCUGUGGCUGUAGAGCUCCCUCGACCUCAGUUGUAAGACUAUAUUCGCCGCAAUCUCACUGCGUGGGGCACACGUUUGCAAGAGAGGUAACAUCAUAAAUUGCUUAACAUUACAUCUGAACUACAC
rnacentral:lncRNA from 1 species